CCUACGGGUGGCAGCAGUGGGGAAUAUUGGUCAAUGGGGGAAACCCUGAACCAGCAACGCCGCGUGAGGGAAGACGGCCUUCGGGUUGGAAACCUAAUUGUGUAGGGAUGAAACAAAUGACAGUACCUGAAAAGCAAGCUCCGGCUAAGUACGUGCCAGCAGUCACGGGAAUACGUAAGGAGCAAGCGUUGUCCGGAUUUACUGGGUGUAAAGGGUGCGUAGGCGGGAACACAAGUCAGGCGUGAAAUGCCGGGGCUCAACUCCGGACCUGCCAUUAUGACUAUGUAUCUAGAGUAGGGGAGAGGAUAGCGGAAUACGCAGUGUAGAGGUGAAAUUCGUAGAUAUUGGGUAGAACACCGAUGGCGAAGGCAGCUAUCUGGCCAUUUACUGACGCUGAGGCUCGAAAGCAUGGGGAUCAAACAGGAUUAGAUACCCCAGUAGUC
rnacentral:rRNA from 1 species